GCUGGGUACAGUGUUGCAUACCUGUGGUCCCAGCCACUUGGGAGGCUGAAGCAGGAGGAUUGCUUGAGCCCAGGAAUUUGAGGCUAUAGUGCAGUAUGUUUGUGCCUGUGAAUACUCACAGCACCUCAGCCUGGGCAACAUAGCAAGACCCUAUAUCUU
rfam:Homo sapiens chromosome 2, GRCh38 reference primary assembly.